CAUCCCUCUGAGUGUUGUGACUUAAGUAUGCAAAAUAAGUGUUUUGUAGUCGUGAACGUAGUUUGGCUCUGCCUGUAGAUCAAUUAUUGUGCUUUUUAUCGAAAGAGUGUUGGCUUAAUUUUUAAGAUUGCAAAUAUUAUGACCAUAUUUUCUGAAUCUAGAUAAUGAAAAUGAGAACGAACGAUUACUAUGUGAAUGCCAGCUUGACCCACACAUCACUGAAAAAGUCUAAAUGGCAGAUAGAAAAACACAUGUAAUAGGAUUAAGGAGGUAAGUAACCAGAACAGAGUACUGAGCCAUACGUGGAACAGGAUUUGGAUUGGAGCCUGGCGGAGAAGGAGGUGUGAAAGUCCGCGGAGAGACUGAUCUCUCAAGUCUGGGUUAAGACCGGUCAGAACUUUUGAAGCAGAGAUCAUCUCCAAACGAAACCAAUUGCUCAGUCGAAAAUAGCACUGGGUAUUAUACUUAGAAAAAAACCCACUCAUUUAUUGAUUGCUCUAUUUCCUGAUUCAGAGGUGGCAACCCGAGGGCAAAGAGAAAGGGAAAUUUCAGUACCAUGUAUUGGCCUCUUACAGUGUGGAGCUGAUUCUGUUCCACGACCUUUCUCUCUACAAUAUAACAAUUUCAAGUAAUGUGUCAAAUUUAGGCAACCAAAAAAUGUUUUCCUUCGCUCCUAGGACUUUAAUUUGAAACAUGGUGUCUUUUGAUUUGUAUGUAGAUUUAAUGUAACCACCAGCUACAUAGAAAAAACUGGUGUUGAUACCUUGUUAAAGUAAAAACGAGUCCAAGCUCAUCUAUCUGCAUAUUUGGCAACAGUAGCAAAUGUACAUUGUGGCAAAUUUCAUUUAGCCUUACCAAAGAAAAUGAAAAGGUCCUACCUGCUAAAUGUCCCAAGCUCCUGGACCCCUCUACUCCUGUACACAUAACACUACUUUAAAAGAUUGUGGUUUACUUCCUCAUGAUGUUGAGGCUUUUGUCGUUUAUUGAGGUUUAUCGUCAGUUUUUUAGUUUCCUCAAAAUGUGCAGAAGCACUUAAUGCGAUUUUUAAUUUCAUAGAAAUGGAAGGAGAUGGUCUAUUUAGGCAUAUGCCUUCAAGGCAGCUGUCAUUGCUAGCCAUAGAAAAUAUGUUAAAACAUGGGCCUGCUGUAAAAUCAUUAUUUUCAAAGUGUGGGAUAAGAAGAAUGUCCUUCUCUCAUUUGGAAAUACUUUGAGGAUGGGAAUGGAGAAAAGUACAGUAAAACAGAAAUUUAUAUGCGCUUUCUCCAAUAGUGCAUGACGUUAUGUUAUAUAGAUUGUGACAAAAACUCAUAGUCUGAAAAAAAUGAUUCAUGGGAGAUGAUAUGACUGCUUCAAGUAAUAAUAAUAAUAAUAAUACCAGGAAGGGGCAGCCAAGUAGUCAAGUUAAAUAGGACUUUCUCAAUUUAUUUUCUAAAAUUGUAAUUUAUUUGGAAUUCAAGUUUUAUUUCACAAGUUUAAAUUACUGCUGUGCUUUUUAUUGAGAUAAGGAGAACUGGAAAAGAAUCAGGUUUGGGGGUUUGAUAGGAAAUCAAGAGAUCUUUGAACAUGUUAAGUUUGAGAUGCCUCUUAGACAUUCAGUGGAGAUGUCAGUCAUAUAACAGGAUAUGCUCACUGGAGAGAUGAGGUUGGAAGUUUAAGUCUGGGAAUCAUCAGGGUAUAGAUGGUAUUUAAAGUCAGGUGAUCAGGCAAGCUCAUGUAAGGAGAGGAUGUACAUAGUGAAUACAUGAAGACUCAGGUCAGGAUCCUGGAGAACUCCAAAGAGAGUUUGGAGAGAGAAUGGAAAGAGGAGGAAAUAAGUAGGAACUAUGUUCAAGUAGAAAGAAUACCAAGAGAGAAGGAUGUUCCAAAAUACAAGUGAAGAAUGUAUUUCCAAAGGAGAGAAUAUUUUGGGCCAAGUGUUACUGAGAAGCUGAGCAAACUGAAGACAUAAUUGACCACUGGAUUUUGCAAGAUGGAGGUUGCUGGGACUUGACAAGGAAGUUUCAGUGGAGCUGGAGGGGAUAAAAGCUUGGUUUAGAGUGGGGUAUGUGGAGGGGCACAGUUCAAGGUAUGCUCUACCCAUUCCACUAUUCAGAUUCAGGUUUGGAGAAAGUGGCGGUGUGUUUGAUUUGACCAAGGGCUGGGAGUGGGGCAAAGGAGAUGAAGGUUUGGCAAGCUAAAAUGCCAAGCAAUGCUGGCAAUAAAUCAUGAAAUCCAAGCUGUAGAAAGAAAAAAGUAAAAAGAGACCCUUUCUCCUCCUUUUUCUCCUCAUCCUCCUGCCUCUAUCUCUUCAGUUUCUGCAACCUCUAAAUUCUGAGUCAAUUCUCUUCAAGUCUGAGGAGAUUCUCAUUAAAUCAUCUGCAUUGGUUCUGUGGCCUUCCUUUUAUUUAGCUCCAAAUCCAGUCUUGCGAACCUUGAGAACUUAAAAAUAUUUUAGCACACAAUAGCAUUUCUUCAUCUGCAUGAACAACCGUGUUAAGGCACCAGCCUCAAGGCCUGCACUCUCAUUGUUUCCUCUCUCAUGUUCAAGUCCCGUUUCUCUGUAAGAAAAGCAACAUUUUGGAGAAGACCUCUGAUCACAGGCAAAAGGCAUCACAUUUGCAUCCUUUUUAAUCCCCUCCUUUGUUUUACUUUUCACAUUCUACCAGCUUCCAAGUCCUGUGAAUUUUACAUCCUUGGUACUUCCUGAAUCUGUCUCCUUUAUUGCACACAGAUCACUGCCAUUGCUUUACCUCUCCUUUUCUCCUCCUCUUCCUUCCAUGUUUUUCCCUGGCUAUUGCAACAGCCUCCAAUCCAACAGGACAAGCUUGUGAAAAUACCAGUCACACUGACCUUUAUGUUCAGGAGGGCAUUUCUUUGUCUUCCCAAAGCCUUUGAGGUAAAGUUCAAUUUUGGUAACAUGGAAGAGACAGCUCACAAAGUGUUCUCAUUGUCUGCUAAUAUGUAACAAGGAAUCCCAAAACAUGAUGGGUUGUGGUAUACAGAAUAAUGGCCAUUCUAAAGGUAUUCUCUAAUCCCUGGAACCUAUGACUGUCACCUUACAUGGUAAAAGGGAGUUACAGUUGUGAUUAAGAUUAAGGACCAUGAGAUGGGGAUAUGACCCUAAUCACAAGCCCUUAAAUGUGGCAGGGGACGUGGAAGAGAGAUGCGUGUGAGGACUCCACCCACCACCGAUGGCUUUGGGGAGCCAAGGAAUGUAGCAGGCUUUAGAAGCAGGGAGUGGCCAUUAACUUAUAGCCAGCAGAAAAGAGACAGCUCUGUCCUUUAACUGCAAAGAAACAAACUCUGUAAGCAAUGCAAAGGAGGAAACGGAUUCUACCCUAGAGCCUCCAGAAAGGAACUCAGGCUGCCAAUACCUUGCCUUCAGCGUGAUGAGACCGUACCCAUCACUUCUGACUACAAAGGUCUAAGAGAAUAAAUUUGUGUCAUUUAAAGCCAGUAAGUUUGCUAUGAUAGCCACAGAAAACCAUUUUAUUAUCUCUCUUGAUUCUGUGGGUUGACAGGUCUCAUCUGGGCAAUUUUGCUCCACGUGGUAUCAACACGAACUCCAGCCCCCUAGGACCUGACUGGGCUGAGAUGUCCAAGACGGCUCACUCACGUGGCUGGUGUUGGCAGUUGGUGUCGGUGAUCUGCUAGGAGCUCCACUGAGGCUGUUGCCCAGAGGGCCUGGGUGUGAUCUUUCCAUGUGAUUUGGACUUCUCCGAGUGUACUGGCUGGGUUCUGAGAGGUUCAGAUUCAGAUUGAGAAUUUCAAGAAAUCAAGUCAGAAGCUGCAUUUUAGCGAGAUCCCCGGCUGGGUUUUGUAUGUUCAUUGAAGUUUGCGAAGACCUCAACGCUCAACGCAGUCCUUGACCUUUGAUAAGUUUACGACACUCUGGCAAAGAUUCUGAGGACAACAUGAUAAGGGAAUCUUAUUCAUAACUCUGCCAGAGCUUUCUGCGCCUCAUCGUCUCUGUUCCAUCAGCCUCUUCUAGCAAUGUAGCUGGUGGCGGGAGGGGCAGAGCGAAGAAGUCUCCGCUGGGGUGGUGCCGCGUAGCACCGUAGAGCCGGCGGUAGCAGCCUCCUGGCCCGCGGCGCCGCAGCUCCUCCCGCCGGGCACGGUGGCGCGCGCCUGUAAUCCCAGUUUCUCGGGAGGCUGAGGCCGGUGGAUCGUGGAUUCCCGGGGGUUCGGGACUGCAGCUCUGCGUAGAGCGGGCGUCCGCACUGGGCCUGGCAUCAACAUGGGGCUCCCGGGGGAGCCCGGGGGGACCAGGUUGUCUAAGGAGGGGGGGACCCGGCCCAGGCCGGACACGGAGCAGGUCAAACUCCCCGUGCUGGGCGGCGGUGGGACCGCGCCUGCGAGCAGUGUCUGUAGUUCCGCCCGGACAUCCGACGAGACCCGGUCUCUUUUUUGUUAAUAUUAAUUUCCCUAAGGAGUCUCUAAAAAAUUGUUUUUCUCUAGCAUUUUUUUGCCCCCAGCAGACCACCUGACUUCAUGGGAAGGGGGGGAGGAGGGGGGGGACGGGUAUACGCACUAUUGUUAAAAGAUAAACGGAGGCAUAUAAAACUUUUUAAGAUUUUAUUUGCGCAAAAAAUCGAUUCCAACUGAGCCAGAACCAAGAAAGAAGAUACGUUCUAAAUAUUACAAAGAAGAAGGAAAAGUGGUUUUUCUUCACCUUUGGAUCUAUCUCUUUCGUUUAAAGUGAUACUCAUACUUCGGCUUCUCCGACUGGAAGAAUCGUUUUAUUGAAUAAUCCUCUUGUGUCUUCCUUUACGAAUCUGAGAAAAAGGUUGCCCAUUUUUUCGGUCCAUCAUUUCGGUUGCGCGUAUUUUCAUGUUUAAUACCUUAAAGUCUCGUCAACGGAUAAGG
rnacentral:lncRNA from 1 species